rnacentral:lncRNA from 10 species
GAACCCUGGGCUGAGCCUCCCCGCCGGCUGGCCAGGACAGACCUGGAUGCCCUCCACCCUCCAGCCAAACUUAUUUUUUUCAUAUCAUAGCUGCAGAAUAUUCGGACCCUCUAGUCCCAGCCGCCCAGUGAACUUGAGCUGUGUGACCUUGAGCAAAAGGCAAAAUGUUUCUGAUUUUCAGUCCCCUCAUCUGGAAAAGGAGGAGGCUGUGGGACAUGAUGAUCUUUGAAAGUCUAAUAAUGAAACAAACAGAAAACCUGUGCUUCUAAGUUGGUGAGUCUGGAAAGCGGGGCCCGCCAAGGGGGCAGGAGGUCGGACACCUCGGGAACAGGCCUCUUUGUCUCUGUGCGGCUUCUCCCGUGGAACAGCACCCACCUUCCUAGGCACGGCUUGGUGUACAGUUGAUGUCUAGAAUAUAUUAACAGAAGGCUGCCCUGUAGAAGUUUUGAGUUAAUGGUUUCCAUCAACGCAGGAGUGGAAGAAGCUACUGGGGAUCAGGAAUCAGAAGUCCUGGCUUUAAGCCCUAGCUUUAGCCCUCACUGGUAAU